rnacentral:lncRNA from 1 species
UCAGUUGUGGAUUCGUCCCUGCAGAGAGAGUUUGAGCCAGAGAGGGAGUCACUUCGCUGCAUGUCCUUGAGCUUCUGCAGACUCCUUUGUGACUGCACGGUCUCGGGGUCACUAUUCAACAGCAAACGCAAGGAUAGAAAACAGGCCACGCCCCGGCAAGCGGCUGGUCACACUGCCGGUCUGCUGCUGGAACACAUCGAUGGUGUCCUCGUCGUCCAUCUCCAGCUGCGCAGAUCUUGUGCUAAUUGUUGGAAAAGAACAAGAGACUGCUAAGUUGAGCAGAUCAGAGUUGUUCUGAUUCAGGAAGGACCCCAGAGCAUCCAGUCUUAUCAAUGUUCUGGGGAGGCAUAUAUUGAAGAGACAGUCUGCCAAGCUGGUCAUCAAGAAAGCUGAUUCUUGAAGAAAAGAAGAUGGUUGUAAGCAAGAUUGACACAUAACAAUGGCUUUCUCUUUGGGGUGUUU